CUGAGGUGUACUUGCCUGGAGGCAGAGUCAGCAUCCAAAGUCAGAUCCAGUCUUAGGGUCGGGCACACAGCAAUCUGCGUGGUCAGAUGGUCCAGGGGACAGGGAAUCCAAUGAUCAGAGGGUCAAGGGUCAAGACUAGCAGGAAGAAGCAAGGUAGGGCCAGGAAAUACAAGCGCUGUUACCGGCAUCUGACUGCUGCUGGAAGCUCUGCUUAAGAAGGCUGUAGCCAGCUGGUCCUUAUCCGUGUCUUCUCCUCAGUGUCCUUGAAGACUGAUCAGUUGCAGGUGGGAGUCACUCCACCUUCUCCCCCUUCAGACAGGCAAAGCUGACUCUUGGCCCCGUGACAGAGGGCUAGAGGUUGAGAUGUUGGUCCACCUCAUACUUCUCAAAGUGGCCUCCAGGAACAUGAAUGGUCAACCAGAGGACUAUACCAUAUGAAAGAGUGGACCCAGAGAAUGCCCACAGAAGGGGGCAGGGGGAAGUGAACUUUCCUUAUUCCCAUCUACUCCCCCCCCCUACAUAGCCCCCUGAUCCUGUCCCUUUACAAAGUCUCUCCCAAAUGUUAGAGGACCUUGCAGAAUAGGGAGGCAUGCAGCUCAGAGGUUGAGAGAAAAGGGGAUUCCUGAAAACCAGGCAAUGCCAGCUUCUGCAAGCAGGGACGCUGGUCACAGAAGGUGCCUCUGCCUGAUUUGGGGGGAGGGAUAUUGUGUUGUUUUUUUUAAUUAAUAUUUAUUACUUUUCCAACAAUUUAAACACUACAAAAACAAUACAAUACAAUACAAUACAAUACAAAAACACUACAUAACAAUGACACAUUAAACACAUUAAACUAACAAAACAAAACAAAAACAGUUUAAAAUAAAUCAAACAAUUUCAAUAUCUUAUCUUUCAUUCACUUAUUUCCACGACCUCCUCACACCUCCCUUUUUGUAUUCCACUUCUGUUAAUUGUUUCAGCAAUUCCUUUCCAUCUUCCUCUGUUUUCUAUCCUAUAAUUAUCUUAACACAUUCUAACCUUAUUUUUUCCUUUAAUACUCUAUUAAUCUAUUUAUACUUAAUUGCUUAUAACAUUCCUACUAAAGCCAUAUAAUUUCAUUCCAACAUUUUUCUAACAUUCAUUAAUUUUACAGUAUUUCUGUAAAUAGUCUUUAAACUUUUUCCAGUCUUCUUCCACCAACUCUUCUCCCUGGUCUUGGAUUCUGCCAGUCAUUUUCGCCAAUUCCAUAUAGUCCAUCAACUUCAUCUGCCAUUCUUCCCGGGUGGGUAAAUCUUGUGUCUUCCAAUACUUCGCGAUGAGUAUUCUUGCUGCUGUUGUUGCAUACAUAAAAAAGGCUCAUCCUUCUUUGGCACCAAUUGGCCGACCAUGCCCAGGAGAAAGGCCUCUGGUUUCUUCAGGAAGGUAUAUUUAAGUAUCUUUUUCAUUUCAUUAUAAAUCAUCUCCCAGUAUGUCUUAAUCCUUGGGCAUGUCCACCAAAGGUGAAAGAAUGUACCUUCAGUCUCCUUACAUUUCCAACAUUUAUUGUCGGGCAAAUGGUAAAUUUUUGCAAGCUUGACUGGUGUCAUGUACCACCUAUAAAUCAUUUUCAUUAAAUUUUCUCUUAAGGCAUUACAUGCAGUGAAUUUCAUACCUGUGGUCCAUAACUGUUCCCAGUCAGCCAUCAUUAUAUUAUGUCCAACAUCUUGUGCCCAUUUAAUCAUAGCUGAUUUCACCGUUUCAUCCUGAGUGUUCCAUUUCAACAGCAAGUUAUACAUUCUUGACAAAUUCUUGAUUUUUGGAUCUAACAGUUCUGUUUCCAAUUUUGAUUUUUCCACCUGGAAACCAACUUUUUUGUCCAAAUUGUAUGCCUCCAUUAUUUGGUAAUAAUGGAGCCAAUCUCGCACUUUAUUUUUCAAUUUUUCAAAACUCUGCAAUUUUAGUCUGUCUCCAUCUUGUUCCAGAAUUUCCCAAUAUUUCAGCCAUUUGGCCUCCAUAUUGAGUUUUUUCUGUGCCUUCGCUUCCAUUGGUGACUGUUGGGUUGAAAUAAGCGACAGAUGAAUGGCAAGGUGUCAUACGGGAGGCAUCUCCCGAUCAUGUGCUCGGGAAGUCCCUUUUAUUGAAUAUUACAGCAUUUCCACAUAUGUGCUUGUUGCUGAUUGGUUAACAUGAAUACAAUGCAAGGGCAUUAAUCAUGAAGGUUGGGAAAGGGAACACAUGGUUACUAGUGAUUGAUAUUGCAUGACUUGAAAGAACAUAACAAUCGCAGUCCGUAGAUGUGGUCAACAAUGCAUUAAGAACAGGUCAGGGUGUGAUGUUUCAAGAACUCAAUGUGAACUAUUCAGAACAUUCUCAGACUCAUGUGCAGAGGCAAAAACUUCCCAGCAGGUGGCAACCAUCUUGGGGUUUUCUUUUCUAGCAAAUCUUUAUAUCUUAUCCAAACAUUAAACAAUGCUUUUCUAACAAUAUGAUUUUUAAUGCUCAUCAAGUUGCCUCUGUAGGGCUGGGACUCUCUCUUUCUCCAGUUGUGUUACUUUACAUUCAGCAGCAACAGCUUUCUCCCUGGCUUCCUCCGCAGUCUGCCGUAUCAGAGUAGAUUCCUGUAUCAAUUUCUGAAUAGUUUCUGUAUUGGUAUUCACCUUUAGUCCCAAAUUGUUUAUGCUUUCCGCUGCAACAUCCACUUUCUUAUUAAGCUGUUCCAAUGAAUCGUUUAUCUUACCUAAUGCAACCGCUAAAACCUCUUCUGACAACAUUCCCCUUGAUUUUGGUUGCACUGAUGCAGAAGCAGCAGCAGAGGAAGCAGGAGGGCCUGGUGUUGCACCUCUCCUGGGUUGCUGCCAAGUCUUCCCAGACCUUAAUGUUUUUUCAGCAGUUGGUUGAUCUGUUUUUUCCUUUCCAUUUGCCAUAACACUUAAAAGAUUCAAGGUCAGUCCCAGAGUCUCACAGUUUUUUAUCUUGCAGCUGGAAAUUCCCCCAGCCCAACUCUUGUAAAGCAACCAGUUUCAAAGGCUUCCACUAGGGGGAAACAGUUUCUAUUUAUGUUAUUUUGUAUUAAUCAGUAAUGUCCUCUUUUAAACGCAGUUCAAACAAUCCAAAGUUAGUUUCAAUUUUCAGUUACUUUACUCCUUUUUAGAAACAGCAGGAGACAGUAGAAACAAUGUAUUUCUCUUAUUUAGCUAGCUGUCAAUGAAUGUUCUAAGCACUGUCAGUGAACAUCCAAAGGACGUCAGUCCUGCUAGCAGCCCGUUUCCAGGGUCAGAGCGGCGGAAUUCUAGCUCUCUUCACUCUCUCCUGCAGACAUACUCAGUCCACAACUCCCCCCCCCCUUCUCCUGCCUCCAAGGGGGGGUUAAAUGUUCUUUACCGAUGGGGAUUUAUUCUUUUACAAAAGGCUUUCCAAGACUUCAGCUUGCAGCCUCAUUGCUUCAGUCUACUUACAAAAGGGGAAGGCGGACUUCCUGUGUUGAACCUCCCCGUUAUGAUACCAAAUUAAACGUUUAAAAAUCCAAUUCUCCCGCUUCAGCUCUACUCAUGGGUAAUUACUUUAAAGUCAAAUUGUCCACAGGAAAAAGUCAGCGCUCUCCGGUAACAUCUAUGCGGUUUCGCUCCGUGGAAGAAGCAGACGAUUCGAAGCACCGCGCCACUCACCCCAUGUCGCUCCGGACCCCCGAAACCGGGUUCCCCCGCGAGUAGGGGAGGCGCAAAAGGUGCCCGCCGAAUCCCACGUUCACAGGCUUCUCCCGCCUGUGAUUUUUUGCGGGUCUCCGCCUUCGCCGUGGCGGCCAGACCCAAAUUCCCACGGGGCAAAUUCCUCCCGAUCAGAGGAAUUCUGCCAUUGCCGGAGGCACCAACCCGGAAGUCCUCCUGGGGGGAGGGAUAUUGACCAUUUCAGUGUCGGCAGGAAUGUUUGUCCUGAUGCGCAUCAGCUGGUAUCUGCAACAACGGCACAAGCAACAAGUCUGCCUGCACGUGUGGAUGCCAUUUGCCAGAGUGGGCGUCUGUGUGCAGCAUUUCAUAUGCUUCAACUUCACGGUGAGUGUGGGUGCCUUUCAAGUCAUGUCUUCUACAGUGCAGGUUCCUUGCUGUUAAUGUAUUCAGAUUUUAAAGACCCUUACAUAUGAAGUGUAUCUCUGUGCAAACUCAAAGCCAGGUAGGAGUGGUCCCAGAGGAGUGAGGAAAGUCACAUGUGCACAAUCUAGUUUCCAACUUCAAAGCAGGUUCCAAUUCUUAAACUUCAUAGAGGGCUUAAUUUGCAAGGAAAAACCUGAGGCACCAGAUUUAUAUGAGCUGAUUAUAAAUUGCCCUUAAUCUUAUGCACAUAUAUACUGGCAACACAGUGCUUGGAAGAGAAAAAUAACCGUGCUGUUUGUGGCUAUAAACUCAAGAUGGGCAGACAAGGAAAGAAAAUGAUAUUGAGUGACCACCUGGUAAUUUCACUUCAACAGUAGUUUAGUUGGUCUUUCAUUUAUUUGCAAUUUGUCAACAAAAUACUUCCCCCAAAGGCCCAAAAUGUGCACCAGUUUUUAAAACAGACUUUUUAUAUAUUUUAACUCCCCUUUAGCUGGCCAGGCUCAAAAACAAACACACAAUUAUUUUUUUAAAUGCCCUUAGAUAUUUUGUGUGUGUGUGGUUUCUCUGCUUUGUUUGUGAUUAAUCUACUGUUCAUCCAUCCCGGUUCAGAAAGUUUUCAUUGCUGCUUUGUUUGCAGCUAUUACAUUUUGCAUUGUUCUCUCAUAAUAUAUUUGGUUUAAUAUUUGGCCUUAUAGUUCUGAACCAGCCCUGCAGGAUGGGCAGAUUAAGACUAGGAUGGUCUGUCCUUUAGGCUAAUGGGUUCCAACUGAUUAUUGAAUGCCUUUGGGUUUGUUUUCCAGCAGGCAGAGCAUUGGAAAGAAGCAUUCUAUUGCAGCUUGGCUUUGAUAUGUGUGCAGCACAAAACUGUUUGUCUGGUUUGCUAGUGUGUCCAUGGGACCCAAAAGGUUGGUAACCCCUGAAUUUAUCAGUGCUACAUUGCCUUUAAACUAUCAUACAAACAGAUGGAGCUCAUUUUAUCCCAUUUGUUUCCUCCACAGACAUGUUUACAUGCAAGUACAUGAGCACAGGCCAGCCUUCUCCAACCUGGUGUGCUCCAGAUAUUGUUGGACUAUAAUUCCCACCAUUCCUGACUGUUGGCCAUGUUUGCUUGGGCUGAUGAGAGCUGUAGUCAACAAUACCUGGAACAUACAAGUUGGGGAAUGCUGGCAUAGACAGACUCCAAAGAAAAGGACACAAAUUUGUCCUGCUAGAUUCAAGAUUCUAACCGAUUUUCAUGUUUGCAUAUUUGACUGUGCAUCAUUCUUUUCAUGCAUUUAUUUGCUUUUUGCUACAACUAUUCUAAUUUCAUACAUUGGUUGCUUGGAUAUUAUUAUUUUUUACACCUGGAAGAAAAUUCAUGAGCUACAUUCUUAUAGCUAACCAAGCUUUUCCUCUUUAGCUGCACAAUUCCGAAAGGAACAAUUCGCCGUUAAAUGGGUUCAUCAUUUCUUUUGUGUCUUCCUAUGCAUCACGUUUAGAUACGUUCCCCAAGAUAUGCAGGCAUUCAGCCAUGCUUUGCAAUAUGUCCUUGCAGCAGGGAUAUUUCAUUUAGGCAAGAGGAAGAGAGGGAAUAAAAUCCUUGACUAGAAUUUUGCUAUUUUUUCUUUUAAUGUUAAAUUUAAUUCAAUCUUUCUCUAUGCUACCUCCCAUGUAAUCUAAAUAGUUUUCUAGCUGAAAGUAUUCCCCCCCCCCCCCACGAAUGGCAAGAUUAAUAGCUCAGUAAAUUGUGUGUUGGAGCAGUAGUUUGUUUGAGUUAUUUUCUUCAUACACAUGGGCUACAAAUGCAGUGCCUCCACGUGCUUCUUUUCCAGAACAAGGGACACAUUAAUGUGAUAUAUUUUAACACUAUAGUCUUGUCUCUUUCUCUCCCCUAUCCCACCCCCACUCCUAAACGAUCUUAAAUCUGUUUGCCUAGAUCAAAUGGGAAGGAGAAUGUUGCACUCGAUUUCUUCAGCUCCUUCCCCAUUCCUCCUCCUGACAGUGCAAGGCUUGGCCAUGCCAUGCCCACAGGAGGCAGAGAUGUGUCUGUCUUCUAAAUGGCAAUUCCUUGGAGAGACAGUAUCCAUUAUUAGUACAUGUAGAGGACAGUAAUUGGAAUCCCAUGUGAUUAGAAGAGCACUAACAGCAUUUGCUAAAGAUUCCCACACAACCUCAACUGUCAUGUGCAUUCCUGAUGGCCAGUCUCCCAACAAGAAUUGCCAUUCUAUCUCCUCUUCACCACCCUUUUAAAUGUUUCAGUACAAAAACUACUGUGUUGCACACAGAUUUUAUUUCUGCAACAGCAUAUCUUUUUAGUGGUUUCCCAUAUUCUCUUCUCCGCUUUGUUCUUUUGCAUAUACAGCUUUUCUCUAUAUACAUACUUUUAGUUUUUCUCUUUUCCUUGGGUUCAAGGGGGGCGGGGGAGAGACACCUGGUGUGUUAUAGAAUCUUGUGCCACAAUUUGAAGAACCUGCUGUGAGUGAAAAUGACUAAGACCAUGUGGUUCAUUUCCAACACAGCAGGUGUCAUGAGAAAGGCAAAAUGGGAGCCUGGUGCUUCCCCUCACAUUCCAGCCUUUGGAGCCAGUUGGUAGCAGACAACCAUUGUUAACAGCCUAAACCACCCAGUGAAAAGAGAAGGUCACAUCUUUUCCUAACCGACUUAAACGUGAAUCUGUGCUGGGGCAAAUUGCAGACUGAUGCCACACAAGCUGAGCUCAGUAUACUGUUUUCAAACAUUUCAUUGCUAACACAUCUAGAUUUCCAAUUAUACUCCAUUCAGCUCACUGUAACCCAAUAACUCACAUAGGAAGGUGGAAAUAUCACAAGCAAGCAGCAUACACAAAUACUAUUCUUUUACGGAAGCAAUGAAUCUAAGGUAUAUUAGACCUCAAGAGAGACACCAAAAUGCUAGCCAGUUGCUAGUUACUAUAUAUAGCAGGGAUGGGGAACCUUUGGUUCCAUGGAUCUUGUUGAAUUCCAAGUCCAACUUCCAUCAGCCCCAGCCGGCAUAGUCAGGGAUUAUAAGAAUUAUAGCCAGCAACAUCUGGAAGCCCACAUUUUCCCCAUUACUAUAGAAAUAAUUCACAAGUACCAUGUUGCUUGAAGAGAAAGGGAGUUAUGCAAUAAACAUAAUUGUAAUAUUCUUGCAUUACACAGUUCUCACACACUUCUUACAAAACAGCUCCAUGCCCAAAGUUCUCCAGAAGAGCCCUCCCACAAUCCAAGGAUUUCAAACAUCUAUGGACUCAAAACACACAGAGAGCUGAAACUAGGAAAGGCAACCUUAUAGAUCAUAAGAUUUAUUGGCGCUAUUCUAGGCCAUAUCUGUAGAACCCAUACUACUGAUUAAGUGAUUGUAUGAUCUUUGUCCUGAAAGUCAUUUAGGAUUCUUUUCACCAAGCUGGAAGAGAUGGCGGAUACGGUUGCUGAAUAGACCUACAGCACAUAUGCCUUUUUCAAAGUUUUCUGUUUCCCGAUUAGUCAAAACCAAUUCAUCCAAUUAGCCCCUUAUCGUACAACCACAUCAACGUCUAUAUUCAUAUCUCCCCGCUUCUGUGUUGACUACAGCAGUAUUGAAAUUAAGUCUAAUUAAGCAAACUUAUGGAUUCUCACUAAUGGCUCUGUAUAUGUAUAAGUACAUGUUCCCCAUAGCUAUUUGUUCAAGGAACUCUUCAUAUCAUUUAACUCACUUCAAUUAUGCAUAUUAUAGCUCGCCUACUGAUGAUUUUGCAUAAUUAUUUUUUAAAUAUAAGUAAAUGUGACCUGCAGGAUUUUCAAUAUUAACUUAAGAUUUUAAGAUAUUGGUUUGGCAUGCAAUUUGGUUUCCUUUCUUUGAGUUUUAGAUCCCCCGUGAAGUUUAAUUUUAAAAUUGUAUGAUUGGACAAGGUCAGGAAGCAGAUGAUAUGAUGAUGGAUUAUUCUUAAAUACAUAUUUCCAGUAUAUUAAAUGUGCAUCCAAAUGAUUAUGUUAUAAGCCACUUUGAUAACUUAUUUUACCAGGAGGGCAAAAAAGUAUUGAAGAAAAUAAAUUUUAAUAUGUCUAAAUGCAGUCUUCUUAUACUGAACUAACUAAUGCUUCUGCCAUGAGUCCAGCUGAAGUUUGCAUGGCAGAAUCAAUAAGGACGCUUGCCUGCUUACUACCUGCCACAAAUAGAGGCAACUAUGUGAAGGAUAGUCUUCCUGUUACUACCAGAAAAAACCAGAUGGAUUCAAGGGAAAUCACAGCUUGUGUUUGAAACUGUAUGAAAAUGCUUGGUCAGAAAAGUAAUUAAGUGCCUCUUUCCAGCACCAAUGAGAGCUGCUUCCCACCCACUGCCACCCCAUUUGUUGAUAGAGGAUCUUUGCUUUUAACAGCUACAUGGCAGAUGAGAAAUUCAACAGGAGGGAACCUCUGCCUAUAGUUGAAACACUGUUUAAUUCUCCUAUGCCACUGUGAACAGCACAGAGUCUCUGUCAGGAAAACAGUGGCAACCAUAGGACUGAAAACCACAGAAGAGAGUGAUGCCAUCCAAAGCGAUGUGAAUAAAGAUUUUAUUCUCUCUUUUUCUGCAAGAUAUCUCCCUGAAAGGCUAUAUAUGUGCAUUGGGGAUUUGAAUAUUUCUGUUAACUUUCUGUUGUGUGUAUUAUUAUUUUUUUUAGGGCCAGCAUGUGUGAGGUAAGAAUCAAGAACUAAGAAGUUGCUCAUCUUCUCCUUCUGAUACCUGUAUGAAUUGCAUCAGAAUUACAAUAGUAAUAUGAAAAAGAGCCACCGCUCAGGGCUUUUACAGAAUAGCUG
rnacentral:lncRNA from 1 species